AGUUUGAUCCUGGCUCAGAAUGAACGUUGGCGGCGUGGAUUAGGCAUGCAAGUCGAACGCGAAAGCCGCAAGGUCAGUAGCGUGGCGAAAGGGGCAGUAAUGCAUAAGCAACUUACCCUCAGGUCUGGGAUAUCCAGGGGAAACCCUGUGCAAUACUGGACGCCGUAACCGGAUCGCAUGGUUUGGUUACGAAAGGUGACGCCUGAGGAGAGGCUUAUGUCCUAUCAGCUUGUUGGUGAGGUAACGGCUCACCAAGGCGACGACGGGUAGGGGGUGUGAGAGCACGACCCCCGUCACUGGCACUGAGACACUGGCCAGACUCCUACGGGAGGCUGCAGUCGAGAAUCUUCGGCAAUGGGCGAAAGCUGACCGAGCGACGGCGCGUGGAGGAUAAGGCCUUCGGGUGUAAACUCUGUUGGGGGGAACAAAUUUUAGUAACCCUUAGGAAGACGGCUAAGUUUGUGCAGCAGCCGUGUAAGACGACCGUGCGACGUUCUUGGAAUACUGGCUUAAUUGCGCG
rnacentral:rRNA from 1 species